ensembl:lncRNA
UUUGAAGUGUCGUGGUCUGUAGUCCGUGUUGUUUGAAGUGUCCUGGUCUGUAGUUCCGUGUUGUUGAAGGUGUCUGGUCUGUAGUCAGUUGUGGUCUUGUCAGUGUUGUUUGAAGUUUGUCUGGUCGUAGUCAGUGUUGUUUGAAGUGUCCUGGUCUGUAGUCAGUGUUGUUUGAAGUGUCCUGGUCUGUAGUCAGUGUCGUGGUCUGUAGUCAGUGUUGUUUGCAGUGCCGUGGUCUGUAGUCAGUGUUGUUUGAAGUGUCGUGGU